GCGAAAGCGAGUCUGAAUAGGGCGUUGAGUAUUUGGUCGUAGACCCGAAACCAGGUGAUCUACCCUUGGUCAGGUUGAAGUUCAGGUAACACUGAAUGGAGGACCGAACCGACUUACGUUGAAAAGUGAGCGGAUGAACUGAGGGUAGCGGAGAAAUUCCAAUCGAACUUGGAGAUAGCUGGUUCUCUCCGAAAUAGCUUUAGGGCUAGCCUCAAGUGAUGAUUAUUGGAGGUAGAGCACUGUUUGGACGAGGGGCCCCUCUCGGGUUACCGAAUUCAGACAAACUCCGAAUGCCAAUUAAUUUAACUUGGGAGUCAGAACAUGGGUGAUAAGGUCCGUGUUCGAAAGGGAAACAGCCCAGACCACCAGCUAAGGUCCCAAAAUAUAUGUUAAGUGGAAAAGGAUGUGGCGUUGCCCAGACAACUAGGAUGUUGGCUUAGAAGCAGCCAUCAUUUAAAGAGUGCGUAAUAGCUCACUAGUCGAGUGACACUGCGCCGAAAAUGUACCGGGGCUAAACAUAUUACCGAAGCUGUGGAUUGUCCUUUGGACAAUGGUAGGAGAGCGUUCUAAGGGCGUCGAAGCAUGAUCGCAAGGACAUGUGGAGCGCUUAGAAGUGAGAAUGCCGGUGUGAGUAGCGAAAGACGGGUGAGAAUCCCGUCCACCGAUUGACUAAGGUUUCCAGAGGAAGGCGAGUCCGUGCUGGGUUAGCCGGGUCCUAAGCUGAGGCCGACAGGCGUAGGAGAUGGAUAACAGGUUGAUUUUUCUGUACCACCUAGUAUCGUUUUAAUCGA
rnacentral:rRNA from 1 species